rnacentral:lncRNA from 1 species
CAUUCCUACGUAUCAUUUUAUUUGUCUUUGAAUAUUCGUACAUACAGAAAAUUUAGUGGGUUAUUUCCAGUGUUGCAAUUCGUGACGACUAAUUCUUUUCUUUAUCAUUUUUUUUGGAGAGGAAAUUCUUCUUAGCAUCAUUACGCGAGCAAUCUGUACUGCAAGUUUGGCAAUCUUCUCUACGACCUUGAUGCCUUCCAGCUGCUACAGAAAUGUUCGUGUGCAAGCUCCAAGAAACCAGGUCACCAAAUAGAUGGCUUUAAGUAUGCAUAAAAGCUGUGGCUUCAGACCUGUAGUCCUUUCUAGAGGCACCAAAAUUCAUUUAUUAGUUUAAACUAUCGCAUAGAGAGAAGUUUGA